rnacentral:lncRNA from 10 species
CAGAGUAAUAAUACCACUAACAUCACAGCCCAGAACAGAGGAAGGAGCUCUCCAGCCAACCCCAUGGCCGCCAGGCACGCAGCUCCCCGCAAAGCAUACGAUGAGUCAGUCCCCAGUCCCCUUGUGACUUGGGAGGCCACGUGGCUACUUCUAACCCGGGAGGGGGAGAAGUGACGUGUGCCAUUUCUGGGCCAGAGCCGUAACUGAUGGUACAAGAUCCUCCCCAAGGCCUCCCCUUCCUACUGGCGCAACCCAGCAAUAUUCAAGAUGGCGAACACCCUCUGGGACCAGGACGAGCAGAGCCACCACCAACUGCAAUGCGCACGCAGCGAGAGUGAGAAAUAAACCUUUUUAUUUUAAGCUACCGAGAUCUGGAGAUUAUUUGUUACCAUAGCAAAUUCGACUAAUACCCUCUAAGAACAGUAGCAGGGAAGGAAGGAAUCAGACAACACACAAGGAUAUAAAAUAAAAGGUGGUGUCUGCAAAGGGCUGUG